rnacentral:rRNA from 1 species
AACGAACGCUGGCGGCAUGCCUAACACAUGCAAGUCGAACGAGACCUUCGGGUCUAGUGGCGCACGGGUGCGUAACGCGUGGGAACCUGCCCUUAGGUUCGGAAUAACUCCCCGAAAGGGGUGCUAAUACCGGAUAAUGUCUUCGGACCAAAGAUUUAUCGCCUUUGGAUGGGCCCGCGUUGGAUUAGCUAGUUGGUAGGGUAAAAGCCUACCAAGGCGACGAUCCAUAGCUGGUCUGAGAGGAUGAUCAGCCACACUGGGACUGAGACACGGCCCAGACUCCUACGGGAGGCAGCAGUGGGGAAUAUUGGACAGUGGGCGAGAGCCUGAUCCAGCAAUGCCGCGUGAGUGAUGAAGGCCUUAGGGUUGUAAAGCUCUUUUACCCGGGAUGAUAAUGACAGUACCGGGAGAAUGAACGCCGGUUAAGUACGU